GGCUGAGUGGCAUUCCGGGCUCAGCAUCAAACCAGGGACGUCCUCUAAGCACUGUGCUGAGGAGCUAGUGAUCUUGCACGGUUAACUAGAGCACCGAGCAAGCCGCCGCCCACACGUUUCGCCAUGUCGCCUCCACCAAUCCAUCCAUGUGUCGUUCCUUAACUUGUUACUGUCUUGAAGUCUCCCAGGAGUAAUUGCCCUCUGUAAACACCCUGACUUGGACAAUCACCAUUGUAUCAUGAGGGCACGCAGCAUUAAACGCCUUCACUAUUUUCUUCACGAGGAUUAUUAGCUAGCCAGUCUAUGCACCCACUGGAGGAAACAGUGACAGGUCUCUUAAAAA